GUAUUAGUAGCCUGGUAUAAGGCCAAUUUUCUGUCCCUCCUUUUUCAGUGGCAGUCGAAAAUAUUACGACCGUAUUACGGGCGGUCUCAAUUACAAGACCUACCUAUCGUAUUUAUUGUUAAUUUUGUUAAUUUGUUUUCUUCCUGAACAUACAUUAAUUUUUUUUAGCACUGUUUAGGCGCACCCGACAUUAAUCAGUAUUUUACAAUAGGGAAUGAGUAUCUCCAACAUUCACUUGUCUCUUGAAGGAUCAAUAUUGAAUUUCUUCCAUCCGCACCAAACAUGUAUAUUUACGAUGUAAUUUGUUAAAUGUUGGAGUUUGGCAAUAUACAAUCAAAGUAAGCAAUAUACAACAGGCAGAAGAUCUGAAUUUGUAAAUUGGUAUUUUGAUAUCACCUGAUUAGGACGUGUCUCUCUGUAAUUUUCUGAUAAACUUACACACACAUAAUCUGCCUUUUAAUCGUAAGGUUAUGAGAUCUAUAGGAAUAUAGAGCUAUAGGCCUAAUUGCAUGCAAGUCUUUACAAAUUAUAUAUUUUGGUAUGCUAUAGUUGAUUUUUUUUUAUAGACUACUAGUCAUUUGGUAGUUUUUUUUUUGUUUUUUUUACAUGCGGAUUGACUUGAGUGUGAUAUAUUAUGUAUCUUUUGUGCUGUAUUUAACAAUUAUUUACAACCAUGCUGCAUGUUUACACAUUCAUCACUAUACCGCAUAUAAAUAAAGCUUUCUUGUUAAAAAAAAUAAGGAGAUGUAAAUAAUUAAAUGAUUCGUAAUGAGACAACUAUCGACCAGAAUUUAAAAUACCUGAUAUAAGAAUUGUGACUUUCUUACUUUCUUUAUUCAGAGUGAUCGUAAAUUAAUCAGAUAAGCUGGAGGAGGGGUGGGGCUUCAUAUUAAAAGAAAAGAAAAUAGCACUAGCUUUUUGUGAUAAAUAUAUAAUAGAUCAUAAUACAUUCACAGUAACAGACAUAGAUCAUACGAGAAAAUAAGCUCUUCAAAGCUCUGUCAGAUCGGCGGCACUUUU
rnacentral:lncRNA from 1 species